rnacentral:snRNA from 1 species
CCAGACCCAAAUGGAAUGA